GCCCGGGUGGCUCAGUCGGUUGAGCGUCUGGCUUCGGCUCAGGUCAUGAUCUCACAGUCUGGGUUUUAGUCCCACGUCGGGCU
rnacentral:tRNA from 1 species